UACGUAGGGUGCGAGCGUUAAUCGGAAUUCCUGGGCGUAAAGCGUGCGCAGGCGGUUUUGUAAGCCAGAUGUGAAAUCCCCGGGCUUAACCUGGGAAUGGCAUUUGGGACUGCAAGGCUUGAGUGCGGCAGAGGAGACUGGAAUUCCUGGUGUAGCAGUGAAAUGCGUAGAUAUCAGGAGGAACACCGAUGGCGAAGGCAGGUCUCUGGGCUGACACUGACGCUCAUGCACGAAAGCGUGGGGAGCAAACAGG
rnacentral:rRNA from 1 species